CCUACGGGAGGCUGCAGUGGGGAAUAUUGGACAAUGGGGGGAACCCUGAUCCAGCCAUGCCGCGUGUGUGAAGAGGGCCCUCGGGUUGUAAAGCACUUUCAGUGAGGAAGAACGCCUGGUGGUUAAUACCCAUCAGGAAAGACAUCACUCACAGAAGAAGCACCGGCUAACUCCGUGCCAGCAGCCGCGGUAAUACGGAGGGUGCGAGCGUUAAUCGGAAUUACUGGGCGUAAAGCGCGCGUAGGUGGCUUGAUAAGCCGGUUGUGAAAGCCCCGGGCUCAACCUGGGAACGGCAUCCGGAACUGUCAAGCUAGAGUGCAGGAGAGGAAGGUAGAAUUCCCGGUGUAGCGGUGAAAUGCGUAGAGAUCGGGAGGAAUACCAGUGGCGAAGGCGGCCUUCUGGACUGACACUGACACUGAGGUGCGAAAGCGUGGGUAGCAAACAGGAUUAGAUACCCUUGUAGUC
rnacentral:rRNA from 1 species